GCUCAGGACGAACGCUGGCGGCGUGCCUAACACAUGCAAGUCGAACGGAACUUUUAAAGAUGAUUUCUUCGGAAUGAAUUUUUCUAAGUUUAGUGGCGGACGGGUGAGUAACGCGUGAGUAACCUGCCUUUCAGAGGGGGAUAACGUUCUGAAAAGAACGCUAAUACCGCAUAACAUAUGAAUGUCGCAUGGCAAGCAUAUCAAAGGAGUAAUCCGCUGAGAGAUGGACUCGCGUCCGAUUAGCUAGUUGGUGGGGUAAAGGCCUACCAAGGCGACGAUCGGUAGCCGGACUGAGAGGUUGAACGGCCACAUUGGGACUGAGACACGGCCCAGACUCCUACGGGAGGCAGCAGUA
rnacentral:rRNA from 1 species